CACGUAGGGGGCAAGCGUUGUCCGGAUUUAUUGGGCGUAAAGAGCUCGUAGGUGGUUCGGUAAGUCGGGUGUUAAACCCCCAGGCUCAACCUGGGGACGCCACUCGAUACUGCUGUGACUAGAGUCCGGUAGGGGAGCGUGGAAUUCCUGGUGUAGCGGUGAAAUGCGCAGAUAUCAGGAGGAACACCAGCGGCGAAGGCGGCGCUCUGGGCCGGUACUGACACUGAGGAGCGAAAGCGUGGGGAGCAAACAGG
rnacentral:rRNA from 1 species